rnacentral:rRNA from 1 species
CCAAAAACAUAGCUAUUAGUUAAAAUUAAUGGUGAUACCUGCCCAGUGAUAAAUUUUUUAAAAUUAUAAUCUAAUUUUAUUUUUAUUAAACGGAUGCGGUAACUCUGACUGUAAUAAAGUAGCAUAAUAAGUUGUCAUUUAAUUGGUGAAGAGUAUGAAUGGUAAAACGAAUUUCUCACUGUCUUAAUUAAAGGUUUUUUAAAAUUAAAAUAAUAGUGAAGAUUCUAUUUUAUAUCGUAAGACGAAAAGACCCUAUAGAGCUUUACUAUAUUUUUUUAUAAGGUUAACAACAUUUUGUUUAUUAUUGGAAAAUUGGUAGUUUAGUUGGGGCGACUGUCUUUUAUAUUUAACAAAGAUAAGCAAUAUUAAUAAUUUAAUUUAUUGUAUAAUUAAUUAAUUUAACAAUUAUAAACAUAGGCUAUAAUGACCCGUUAAUUUGUAUAAAUUUUAUUAACGAUUAAUUGAUAAAAGCUACCUUAGGGAUAACAGGAUAAUUUUGUUUUAGAGUCCAUAUCAAUUACAAAGUUUGUUACCUCUAUGUUGAAUUAAGAUAUCCAAAUAAUGUAGAAGUUAUUAAGGGUAGGUCUGUUCGACCUUUAAAAUCUUACAUGAUUUGA